GCAGGGUUCAUCUCUUCCUCCCAGUACCUGCAACAACAGAACCAACACAGAGACACCAGCAAGCAUUUCCGCAAUCACAAACCCCACCUUUCUCUUAUCAUGCUGUUCUACCUUUCUUUUCCCUAUAUCCUUCACUUCUUACAUUUUAAAUCUUGUUUUUCUGUAAGCUGCUUCAAAUCCUACCUGAAUAAGGCAGGGUAUCGGAAAAUCAAUACACUCUUCAGGAACUUAACCGAAGGGAAUUUCCUGUGAGCAGCACAGGGCCUUGACUUUGCGCCUGGAAAGGUGUCCUCAUCACAUCAUUGUCAGACCACCACAGGAACCCACAGCUCAUCCUGCCUCUUCCAAUUCAUGUCUCACUCAUUAAACCGUCCUGUUUGUUUGUUUGUCUGUUUUCUACUGAAUCCUCUGGUUAAACAGCAGGAGCAGUGCAGUCAAAUGUCUUGAUAAAAUGUCACACCUUUCCGUGAAAUUUCUAAGUGUAGCUAUGCAGCACGGAGGAAAAGCCACCCGGUUUCCAGUUACUGACCUGGGCGGACUUGGUUUUCUUCCGGGUUCCCGCAGUGGGUUUCCUCUCGAGCAGUGAGUUCUUGCCUCUCAAAGGAAGAAGCCACACUGGCCAUGUAAAGAGAGUGUCCAAACCUUCCUCUUCCGCAGCUGGAGAGACUUCCCAGCUCCUCUUCUGUUUGGGGACUGGGAAGCUCUGAGUCCCAACUUCUCUUGUCUGAUUUCACUUUCUCACCCACCAACCCCUGCUCUCACUCAACCACGAAGUGCCCUCAACACUGAUCUCUGCCUAAAAAUGACUGAAAUCGAUGUCCAAUUUUGGGGGGAUGACUGAUUCUAAUGUUAGGAAGAGGAGCUUAAAAGAUCCAACCUCCCACUCAGUGAGAAAGGGGUCCCUGAACACCUUUCUUGAGACAUAAUCUCCCUACUCCCACUUAAAUGCGAGCAAUUCCUGCUUUUUGCCACAGCGAGGCAAGGCAUUUCUGGAAGUUAUGCUGCAAAGUAAAUCUUUUUAGAGCUCUGGUUUCAAGACUUUGGGUUUUAGGCACCUAGAUAGGUGCCAAGUUUUCAUUUUGUUAAAUAAGGAUAUUUAAAAAAUAAAUAGGUGCCCCCUUCUGCGCGGUCACACUGAGCCAGCGCCUAGGCCUGGGACUGGGCCACAGCACCUUAGCUUCUUCAUCCACCGCCUCCUGACCAUGGACCCCUGGAAAGUGAACGCACUUCGGGCUUUUGUGAAAAUAUGUAAGCAGGAUCCGAGCAUUCUGCACAUUGAGGAAAUGUACUUCCUGAGGGAGUGGGUGGAGAGCAUGGGGGGGUAAACUACCACCUGCUACUCAGAAAGUUAAAUCAGAAGAAAAUACCAAGGAAGAAAAACCUGAUAAGAAGAAGGUGGAGGAAGACUUAAAGGCAGACGAACCAUCACGUGAGGAAAGUAAUCUAUAAAUUGAUAAUGAAGGUGUGAUUGAACCAGACCCUGAUGCCCCUCAAGAAAUGGGAGAUGAAAAUGCAGAGAUAAUGGAAGAGAUGAUGGAUCAGGCAAAUGAUAAGAAAGUGACUGCUAUUGAAGCCCUAAAUGAUGGUGAACUGCAGAAAGCCAUUGACUUAUUCACAGAUGCCAUCAAGCUGAAUCCUCAGUUGGCCAUUUUGCAUGCCAAGAGGGCCAGUGUCUUCGUCAAAUUACAGAAGCCAAAUGCUGCCAUCCGAGACUGUGACAGAGUCAUUGAAAUAAAUUCUGAUUCAGCUCAGCCUUACAAGUGGCGAGGGAAAGCACACAGACCUCUAGGCCACUGGGAAGAAGCAGUACAUGAUCUUGCCCUUGCCUGUAAAUUGGAUUAUGACGAAGAUGCUAGUAUAAUGCUGGAAGAAGUUCAGCCUAGGGCACAGACAUUGCAGAACAUGGGAGAAAGUAUGAGCAAAAACGUGAAGAGCGAGAGAUCAAAGAAAGAAUAGAAAGAGUUAAGAAGGCUCGAGAAGAGCAUGAGAGAGCCCAGAGGGAGGAAGAAGCCAGACGACAGUCAGGAGUUCAGUAUGGCUCUUCUCCAGGUGGACUUCCUGGGGGAAUGCUUGGAAUGGGAGGGGGCAUGCCUGGGAUGGCCGGAAUCCCUGGACUCAGUGAAAUUCUUAGUGAUCCAGAGGUUCUUGCAGCCAUGCAGGAUCCAGAAGUUACGGUGGCCUCUUCCAGGAUGUGGCUCAGAACCCAGCAAAUAUGUCACAAUACCAGAGCAACCCAAAGGUUAUGAAUCUUAUCAGUAAAUUGUCAGCCAAAUUUGGAGGUCAAGCGUAAUGUCCUUCUGAUAAAUAAAGACCUUGCUGAAGGAAAAGCAACCUAGAUCACGUUAUGGAUGUCGCAAUAAUACAAACCAGUGUACCUCUGAUCUUCUCAUCAAGAGAGCUGGGGUGCUUUGAAGAUAAUCCAUAUCCCUCUCCCCCAAAUGCAGCUGAAGCAUUUACCGUGGUUUGCCAUUCAUUCAGAUAAUGUUUUCCUACUAGGAAUUACAAACUUUAAACCGUUUUUAAACCUUAAAAAUAUUUAAAACAAAUUUAAAGGGACUGUUAAUUCUUAUAUUUUUCUUUAUUAAUCAUUUUGGAUUUUUUUCUUUGAAUUAUUGGGCAGGGAAGAUACUUAUGUAUGGAAGAUUGUUGCUCUAAUUUGAGUGAAAUAAAACUUUAUUAGUGCAAGGCAAACAUAAAAAAAAA